GAUGAAGAACGUAGCGAAAUGCGAUAAGUAAUGUGAAUUGCAGAAUUCAGUGAAUCAUCGAAUCUUUGAACGCACAUUGCGCCCGCCAGUAUUCUGGCGAGCAUGCCUGUUCGAGCGUCAUUUCAACCAUCAAGCCCCAGGCUUGUGUUGGAGCCCUGCGGCUGCCGCAGCCUCCCAAAACCAGUGGCGGGCUCGCUAUCACACCGAGUGCAGUAGUUUACUCUUCGCUCAGGGCGUGUGGCGGGUGCUAGCCGUGAAACCCCCAACUUCUCAAGGUUGACCUCGGAUCAGGUAGGAAUACCCGCUGAACUUAAGCAUAUAAUAAGCGGAGGA
rnacentral:misc_RNA from 1 species